UGGGGAAUCUUCCGCAAUGGGCGAAAGCCUGACGGAGCAAUGCCGCGUGAGUGAAGAAGGCCUUCGGGUUGUAAAACUCUGUCCUUAUCGAAGAGAGGUAGGUAUGUGAAUAAUGUACCUAUAGGACGGUAGAUAAGGAGGAAGCCCCGGCUAACUACGUGCC
rnacentral:rRNA from 1 species